rnacentral:misc_RNA from 1 species
GGGUAAAUUUUGACAGACGUUGGGAGGUAAAGGCAACAUCAUCAUGGGACGACUAUCAAGGAAGAAGCAGCACAAGGGAGAUAAACCAUUGAAGGAAAAGUACCGAACCAAGAGGAAGACAAAGGACCUUGAUGAAAUCCACGAAGACAUGAAACCGGCAAAAUCUCAGAAACUGCUGAACCAGGAAGCCGACUUUGAUAAACCUGGUGCGGGGCAGUUUUACUGUCUCCAUUGUGCGAAGUACUUUAUUAAUGAAACUUCUCUGAAGACACAUUUUAAAAGCAAACCACAUAAAAGAAGGUAAGUAUUAGUAGUAAUUAGACAUCUGUUACUUUGUAGUUUGCUGACUGUGUGCAAUUCAUCAUCCUGAUUUAAUUGGGCUUACAUUGUAUAAUUCUAUUCCAUCAUGUGUCAACCAUAAUUUUGUUUGUUUCCUUACAUUUAUUUUAGUUUGUUCACAGAUAUCAAAUGCAUUAAGUUCUUUGGAAUUUGUAGAUUACUUUUCCAAAAGACUUUAUUUUAACAGAAAUUGUACAGUCUGAUUGAAACAUAUACCCCCUUCCCCUUAAGAUGAAAAGAUAAAGAGAGGGCUAGUUUUAAGUACACUGAACAAUUUAAUUCAUUACAAUUGAAAUGAUACAGAUUAGACUGUUGAACAAUUUUUAGAGUGAAAUAUCAGAAAUUCCUAUUGAAAUAGCUACUCCUUUAAGAGGACAAUUGUUUUUGAUGAAAAAGUUCAAAUUUGGCACAAACCAAUGCUGGAUAAUGAAUAUAUUGUUGUAAUUUGACUGUAAGUGAUGUGUGUAAUAAAUGAAAAUCCAUUUAUAUGGGGAUUCUCUACGUAAUCAUUCGAUUUCCAUGAUUUCCGAUUCUAAUGACAUUUUUUUCACUUGUACAGCUAAGAUGACCUUUGAAUUGCCAUUGUUGCAAAUAUAAUUUAAACAAUUGCUUUCUAUGAUUAAAUGAUGAAAACUAGAGCUAUCCCAUUACUUACAGAAGGAAGGGCAAUUCUAUUUUUUUAUAUUUCAAAUUCACUGUGGAAUCAUUAAUUGCAGACACCAAUAUUGUGAAUAGAUUAAUUAAUGUUGGAGCGUCUGUGUAGUUACAAGUAUCUUUCUGAAAAUGAAAUGAAAUUAUCCAAGAACAGACACAUUGGGGGAAAAUGAUUGUAAAUCAAAAUUUUAUGAAAAUUCAGUUAUAUUAAUAAAAAAUGUCUAUGACAGUACUUCAGGAUUUUAUGAGGUGUGAAUUAAAAUGCAGAUAUUAUUGUUUCUGUAGGUUAAAAGCCCUGUCUAUUGAGCCUUACACGAUAGAGGAAGCAGAGAGGGCGGCCGGAAUGGGCUCCUAUAAACGACCAGAAAAGGUUACCGUGGAAACACAGUCAGCAAUCAUGGAAACUGACAACACCUAGUGAAGUGUGUUUGUGCAUGAAAGGUUGUUGUGAUAUGAGAACAUAUAUGUGUUAAUGAACUUUGUUAUCUUUUUAAGGUCAAUUUUAAAUGGGAGGUUAAGGGGGAGGGGUAAGAAUGUCUUUAUCUGCACUAUAUAAUGUUCAAUGCAGUAUAAAUAUAGGUACAUGUAUGUUUAAAACCUUCAAAAAUAUUUUCAAAUAUUAUUGUUAUUUGACUGGGGUAUGCAUUUUGAAUCUGUUCAUUUCGCUUGGUACCUAUAUAUAAGCCUCGGCCCUUUCUUGAACCUAGUUUAAUCCUGCUUUUCAAGAAAUGCAUUUAAUGUUUUAUAUCAACAAGACAAAUAUAAACUGACAUUUAUCACUUAUUCGUAUUUGAACAAGACUUACAACUUCUGCCUAUUUAUUUCCCAAAGUUUAGAAGGUCGAGUAUUGGAUUAAAAUAGUCCACCUGAAUUUUGGUCAAACCAUUGUAAGAGCAAUAUUUUUUGUGAAAUACACUGUACAAUGUACAUGUAUAUUGAAAUGAUACAAAAUGUAAAAUCUUUUUGUUGAAAAAUAAAAAUUUUUACAGCUGAG